AUGGCUGUCGUCAGCUCGUGUCGUGAGAUGUUGGGUUAAGUCCCGCAACGAGCGCAACCCUCAUUUUUAGUUGCCAUCAGGUUAAGCUGGGCACUCUAAAAAAACUGCCGGUGAUAAGCUGGAGGAAGGCGGGGAUGACGUCAAGUCCUCAUGGCCCUUACGGUCUGGGCUACACACGUGCUACAAUGGUGGUGACAGUGGGCAGCAAUUUCGCAAGAAAAAGCUAAUCCCCAAAAGCCAUCUCAGUUCAGAUUGGACUCUGCAACUCGAGUCCAUGAAGUUGGAAUCGCUAGUAAUCGUAGAUCAGCAUGCUACGGUGAAUACGUUCUCGGGCCUUGUACACACCGCCCGUCACGCCAUGGGAGUUGGUUUUACCUUAAGCCGGCACGCUAACCGCAAGGAGGCAGCCGUCCACGGUAGGGUCAGCGACUGGGGUGAAGUCGUAACAAGGUAGCCGUAGGGGAACCUGCGGCUGGAUCACCUCCUUUCUAAGGAAAGUGUAAGAUAAAUUGCCGCCGUCUUUGUAUCUCUUCUUAUUAAACAAAUAAAUUAUAGUUUUGCUACAGCUAAAGGCGCGUAGCUCAGUUGGUUAGAGCGCACGACUGAUAAUCGUGAGGUCGGCAGUUCAAAUCUGCCCGUGCCUACCACUGUCUGUAUAAAUUGUUUAAUAUAUUAAUAGCUCAAUACAGUUUUAACAUUAUUUAGUUAAUCUGUUUGAAAUAGUUGGUGAAGAUGAUCCCAAAUAAUAGGGUAACACUAUAUUAAGUGUUAUCCAGCUUACGGAUUGUACUUUUAAUAUCUUUUCAAGGUUAAGGUUUUAAAAAGUGGUAAUGGUUGUCUGACCGGUUACUACUUUCAUGUACGGUCCGAUCAAGCGUCUUGAAGAGCAUUUGGCGGAUGCCUUGGUACAGAGAGGCGACGAAGGACGUGACACGCUGCGAUAAGCUGUGGGGAGCCGUGAGUAGGCUUUGAUCCACAGAUUUCCGAAUGGGGAAACCCGG
rnacentral:sRNA from 1 species